AUUUAAAUAGUUUAUUUAAAAUAUUGAUUUGUGGUGUCAAUGAUGUAGAUUUCUACUUUAAAUA
rnacentral:tRNA from 1 species